GUGUUCACUUCGGCAGCACAUAUACUAAAAUUGAAACGAUACAGAGAAGGUUAGCGUGGCCCCUGUGCAAGGAUGACAUGCGAAACAAACAAAAAGGAAAUACAGAG